rnacentral:rRNA from 1 species
AUUGAACGCUGGCGGCAGGCUUAACACAUGCAAGUCGAGCGGAGUGAUGGUGCUUGCACUAUUACUUAGCGGCGGACGGGUGAGUAAUGCUUAGGAAUCUGCCAUUUAGUGGGGGACAACAUUCCGAAAGGAAUGCUAAUACCGCAUACGUCCUACGGGAGAAAGCAGGGGAUCUUCGGACCUUGCGCUAAAUGAUGAGCCUAAGUCGGAUUAGCUAGUUGGUGGGGUAACGGCCUACCAAGGCGACGAUCUGUAGCGGGUCUGAGAGGAUGAUCCGCCACACGGGGACUGAGACACGGCCCCGACUCGUACGGGAGGUAGCAGUGGGGAAUAUUGGAAAAUGGGCGGAAGCCUGAUCCAGCCAUGACGCGUGUGUGAAGAAGGCCUUUUGGUUGUAAAGCACUUUAAGCGAAGAGGAGGCUCUCCUAGUUAAUACCUAGGAAGAGUGGACGUUACUCGCAGAAUAAGCACCGGCUAACUCUGUGCCAGCCGCCGCGGUAAAAC